CGCCUUGCCAGCCCGCUCAGAAACUUAAAGGAAGUUGACGGGGGCCCGCACAAGCGGUGGAGCAUGUGGUUUAAUUCGAUGAUACGCGAGGAACCUUACCUGGGCUCAAAUGUAUGUUGACGUAUUCUGAAAGGGAUACUUCUUCGGACAAUAUACAAGGUGCUGCAUGGUUGUCGUCAGCUCGUGCCGUGAGGUGUCGGGUUAAGUCCCAUAACGAGCGCAACCCCUACCUUUAGUUGCCAUCAGGUUAAGCUGGGGACUCUAAAGGAACUGCCUACGCAAGUAGUGAGGAAGGCGGGGAUGACGUCAAAUCAGCACGGCCCUUACGUCCAGGGCUACACACGUGCUACAAUGGCCGAUACAGAGGGCAGCUACCUGGUGACAGGAUGCAAAUCUCCAAAGUCGGUCUCAGUUCGGAUCGGAGUCUGCAACCCGACUCCGUGAAGUUGGAUUCGCUAGUAAUCGCGCAUCAGCCAUGGCGCGGUGAAUACGUUCCCGGGCCUU
rnacentral:rRNA from 1 species